rnacentral:rRNA from 1 species
AUGAACGCUGGCGGCGUGCCUAACACAUGCAAGUCGCACGGAAAGGCCCUGCUCUUGCGGGGCGCUCGAGUGGCGAACGGGGGAGUAACACGUGAGGAACCCGCCCCUGACUUUGGGGUAACUUCACGGAACUGGGGCUAAUACCGGAGAGGAGCUCCUGCUGCAUGGGGGGGGGUGGUAAGUGUCGGCGGUUGUGGAUGGACUCGCGGCUUAUCCGCUUGAUGGUGGGGUUGGGGCUUACCAAGGCUUUGACGGGUAGCCGGCCUGAGAGGGUGACCGGCCACAUUGGGACUGAGAUACGGCCCAGACUCCUACGGGAGGCAGCAGUGGGGAAUAUUGCACAAUGGGCGGAAGCCUGAUGCAGCAACGCCGCGUGCGGGAUGACGGCCUUCGGGUUGUAAACCGCUGUGGCCUGUGACGAAGCGUGAGUGACGGUAAUGGGUAAAGAAGCACCGGCUAACUACGUG